AGAGUUUGAUCCUGGCUCAGGAUGAACGCUAGCUACAGGCUUAACACAUGCAAGUCGAGGGGAAACGAUAUUGGAAGCUUGCUUCCGAUAGGCGUCGACCGGCGCACGGGUGAGUAACGCGUAUCCAACCUGCCCACCACUUGGGGAUAACCUUGCGAAAGUAAGACUAAUACCCAAUGACGUCUCUAGAAGACAUCUGAAAGAGAUUAAAGAUUUAUCGGUGAUGGAUGGGGAUGCGUCUGAUUAGCUUGUUGGCGGGGUAACGGGCCCACCAAGGCUACGAUCAGUAGGGGUUCUGGAGAGGAAGGUCCCCCACAUUGGAACUGAGACACGGUCCAACUCCUACGGGNGGCA
rnacentral:rRNA from 1 species